GGUUCCGGUCCUCGGAAUAGGGCCGUGGCUACUAUGGAAGAACCCGAGAUGCAGCUCAAGGGGAAGAAAGUUACUGACAAAUUCACUGAGAGCGUCUACGUCCUGGCCAAUGAGCCGUCUGUGGCCUUGUACCGGCUGCAGGAGCACGUGCGCCGCUCUCUGCCUGAGUUGGCCCAGCAUAAGGCUGACAUGCAGCGGUGGGAGGAGCAGAGCCAGGGAGCCAUUUACACCGUGGAGUAUGCCUGCAGUGCCGUGAAGAACCUUGUCGACAGCAGCGUCUACUUCCGCAGCGUGGAGGGUCUCCUCAAACAGGCCAUCAGCAUCCGGGACCACAUGAACGCCACGGCCCAGGGCCACAGCCCUGAGGAACCACUCCCACCCUCCUCAGCCUGAUCCCGGAAGAGACUUGGAGGUGCUUCGGCCCCUCUGACCAGACAAAGGGCACUCCACCCAGCCUGGGACAUGGGGAGGAAAAAAAUUCAGAUCUCACGCAUUCUGGACCAAAGGAAUCGGCAGGUAACAUUCACCAAGCGAAAGUUCGGGCUGAUGAAGAAGGCCUACGAGCUGAGCGUGCUCUGCGACUGCGAGAUCGCCCUCAUCAUCUUCAACAGCUCCAACCGCCUCUUCCAGUACGCCAGCACAGACAUGGACCGGGUGCUUCUGAAGUACACGGAGUACAGCGAGCCCCACGAGAGCCGCACCAACACCGACAUCCUCGAGACACUGAAGCGGAGGGGUGUGGGCCUUGAUGGACCCGAGCUGGAGCCAGACGAGGGGCUUGAGGGGCCAGGAGAGAAGCUGCGGAGGCUGGCAGGUGAUGGGGGUGACCCAGCCUUGCCCCGGCCCCGGCUCUAUCCCGCAGCCCCCACUAUGCCCAGCCCGGACAUGGUAUACGGGGCGCUGCCCCCACCGGCCUGUGAACCCACUGGACUUGGGGAGGCCCUGCCUGCCCAGAGCCGCCCAUCCCCCUUCCGGCCAGCAGCCCCCAAAGCUGGGCCCCCAGGCCUGGCGCACCCUCUCUUCUCGCCGAGCCACCUCGCCAGCAAGACACCACCGCCCCUGUACCUGGCAGCGGACGGGCGGAGGCCAGACCUGCCUGGCGGCCUGGCCGGGACCCGUGGGGGACUGAGCAGCUCGAGAGGACUCUACGGUGGCCUGCAGAGUCCCUGCUCCACCGCUGCCCCCGGACCCCCGCUCGGGAGCUUCCCCUUCCUCCCUGCCGGCCCCCCAGAGUAUGGCCUGGGGGAUCCUCCUCCACCCCCAGGCUUGCUGCAGCCCCCCACCCUAGCCCCCUGGCAGCCCUCCAGGGCUGAUGGGCCCCCGGCCACACCCACGCAGCCUAGUGGGGGCCGCAGCUUGGGCGAGGAUGGCCCCCCGGCCCGCGGCGCCUCCUCACCCACCCCUCCCGUCAGCAUCAAGUCCGAGCGCCUCUCCCCGGCCCCCGGAGGCCCCGGCGACUUUCCAAAGACCUUCCCCUACCCUUUGCUCCUGGCCCGGCCCCUAGCAGAGCCCCUUCGACCUGGACCCCCUCUGCGGCGGCUGCCCACUGCUGAUGGCUGGCCCCGGUAGUCGGCCAGGGAAUGGCAUCGGUUCUGACCCUCACGUCAGGCUAGGCGAGGGCACGUGGGGUCCCAACCUCCCUCCCUGCAUCCUUGGAGAAGACGCAGCAGUACCACUGUCUCUGCGAUGGGGGCGUGGAGUGGGGAGGCCGAGUUCGGAUUCACGGUUGGGGGUUCUUUUCCCCUUUCCUGUGUGCGUAUCCAUCAAUAAAACACACGUGGUUUCCGUGGAAAAAAAAAAAAAAAAAAAAAAAAAAAAAAAAAAAAAAAAAAAAAAAAAAAAAAAAAAAAAAAAAAAAAAAAAAAAAAAAAAAAA
rnacentral:lncRNA from 1 species